rnacentral:rRNA from 1 species
UACGUAGGGUGCAAGCGUUGUCCGGAUUUUACUGGGGCGUAAAGAGCGCGUUAGGCGGUCUUGUAAGUGUGAAGUGAAAUCUCCAGGCUCAACCCGGAAACUGCUUUGCAUUACUGCGAGACUAGAGGGAUGCAGAGGUUUGUGGAAUUCUGGUGUAGCGGUGAAAUGCGUUGAUAUCAGGAGGAACACCCAUGGCGAAGGCAGCAAACUGGGCAUCAUCUGACGCUGAGGCGG